AGUUUCUCUUUAGGAUUGAGAGGAGAUGCAGGAAGAUAAUAAACAGGCAGGACAGAAAAAUAGUCAAAUAAAAACAAGUUAGUUUUUGUACCUGCUGGUUGCAACAAACAGACACCAUUGAAGGUAAUCAGAAGUGAGGAACAGAAAAUGAAAUAAUUAUUUUAAUGUUUAGAGCAGCAGGAACUCUGAGAGGCUCCAGGCGCAUCAGUGAGUUUGUGGCCGCUGCACAGGGGGAGGGGGGAGAGGGCUGAAGCAGAAACUACCAUUGUUAAAGAGCAAGUAACGUCUAAAUUAACUUUUUUUUUUGCUGAUGAACUGUAUAAAUGAGUGUCUAAUAGUGUUUUAAAUGUGUGUAUUCAUUAUUUUAGCAUUUUGGAGCAUUUUCUUUAAAAAUUAAAAAUUCUGCCUAAAUAUCACAGUAUAGCUCCACCUUCAGCUUAAAACAUAGAAUUUGACUCAUUUUGAAUAAAUUUUAGCCAAUGGCUAAAGAGUAAGAUACUACGUAAACCAGUAGAGUACUACGUAGCAGCUCUGUGUCAAAGUUAUAAAAGCAUCGAGAGUCUCGGCCACGCCUUGUGGCCAGUUGGGAGUUGGAUUUGCAAGCGAGUGUAGGAGGUUAGCCGUAGUUCAGCAUUAGCAUAUCCUAGUCUUUAGCAUAGCUUUUAGUGUUAUAAAUACUUAUUUAUUACAAUGAUCACACACUAGGAAUGUUAUAAAGUGCCUAUAUAGGACAGUUUCUUUUGUAUAUUAUCUGACUUUAUAAACUCCAACAACGAUGUGCUUCUAUUUUUUUUUUCAGGCUGAAUCUACCCAAGACAUUGGCUGUCAGACUGAUUUAGCUGCAAGAAUGCACUUGUCCAGGCUGACGUGAAGCCUUACCCGUAGCAAAGCCACCCAGUUUAGAGCUCCCAGCCGCAGUGUGUCUUGUGACACGGGGACCAUGACGGAAAUUCAUCUUCCAGAAAGUCCCAGAGCAGCGUCCACACCCCUGAAAAGACCAAGAUGUGAGGUGUCUGCUGUUGAUUCCAGCUUCCACCUCAGUGGCAGUGCAAGCUCAGCGAACUGUUCAAGGUAAAACAAAUUAAAACAUUUCAGAAUUUUUAAGAUAUUAACAAUUAAAUAAGUAUGUGAUUACAUCAUGACAUCAUGAAGGAGGCUACUGAUUCUGCCCCUGUGAUACUUGGUGGUGACGUGUGAGCUGAUUCACCUGGUAAAUAACUUCUACAUUAAAUAUUUUGUUUUUGCUAUCAAAAGUAAAUUAACUAAUAACCUGCAUUAUUGCAGGACACUCAGCAAAAUAUGGACUCUACACCAUGAGGCAGGCACACGUUAAUACUCUAUAAGAGCACAUAAGCCUGGCUGAUCACCUGAUAACUCCUGUCAUCUGGUUGUGACAGCAUGAGGAUGUCCUCACACACCUGUAACCUAUCAGCUCAUCUGGCAGAAUAGAGAGAGAAGAGACAACACCACAUCUCCUGUUCCUGGAAAGCCUUCAGCCAUCCUUCGAUGACUGAGAAUCUCCAUCAGCUCUGUCUCCUGUCUGCCUACAAUUAUUAUAAUAAAUAUUGUGUUUGACAAGUUUUUUGUGCUGCCAAAUGUCUCAUUUUGAUUCCAGUUUUGAUAUUUUAAUGGAUAUUUAUAAAUUACAUUGAUUAUCACAUUGUUGCAUGUUUAAUGAGCUCUAUUGUGAUGAAUUAAACUAGCACCUCACUGUUAAAAGCUCGUUUUAAUUUCAAGCAUGUUUAAGUAUUUAUGGACAUGAACAAAAACAGGAAAUAUAUAAAUUGAGA